rnacentral:rRNA from 1 species
UACGUAGGGGGCAAGCGUUGUCCGGAAUCAUUGGGCGUAAAGCGCGUGUAGGCGGCCCGGUAAGUCCGCUGUGAAAGUCGGGGGCUCAACCCUCGAAUGCCGGUGGAUACUGUCGGGCUAGAGUGCGGGAGAGGCGAGUGGAAUUCCCAGUGUAGCGGUGAAAUGCGUAGAUAUUGGGAGGAACACCAGUGGCGAAGGCGGCUCACUGGACCGGUACUGACGCUGAUGCGCGAAAGCGUGGGGAGCAAACGGG